GGACUACCGGGGUUUCUAAUCCUGUUUGCUCCCCACGCUUUCGUGCAUGAGCGUCAGUGUUAACCCAGGGACCUGCCUUCGCCAUCGGUAUUCCUCCUGAUCUCUACGCAUUUCACUGCUACACCAGGAAUUCCAGUCCCCUCUGCCACACUCCAGCCUUGCAGUCCCAAAUGCCAUUCCCAGGUUAAGCCCGGGGAUUUCACAUCUGGCUUACAAAACCGCCUGCGCACGCUUUACGCCCAGUAAGUCCGAUUAACGCUCGCACCCUACGUAUUACCGCGGCUGCUGGC
rnacentral:rRNA from 2 species